AUACGGUGAAACUGCGAAUGGCUCAUUAAAUCAGUUAUCGUUUAUUUGAUAGUACCUUACUACUUGGAUAACCGUGGUAAUUCUAGAGCUAAUACAUGCUAAAAACCCCGACUUCGGAAGGGGUGUAUUUAUUAGAUAAAAAACCAAUGCCCUUCGGGGCUCCUUGGUGAUUCAUAAUAACUUAACGAAUCGCAUAGCCUUGUGCUGGCGAUGGUUCAUUCAAAUUUCUGCCCUAUCAACUUUCGAUUGUAUGGUAUUGGCUUACAAUGGUUUCAACGGGUAACGGGGAAUUAGGGUUCUAUUCCGGAGAGGGAGCCUGAGAAACGGCUACCACAUCCAAGGAAGGCAGCAGGCGCGCAAAUUACCCAAUCCCGACACGGGGAGGUAGUGACAAUAAAUACUGAUACAGGGCUCUUUUGGGUCUUGUAAUUGGAAUGAGUACAAUUUAAAUCCCUUAACGAGGAACAAUUGGAGGGCAAGUCUGGUGCCAGCAGCCGCGGUAAUUCCAGCUCCAAUAGCGUAUAUUAAAGUUGUUGCAGUUAAAAAGCUCGUAGUUGAACCUUGGGUUUGGUUGGUCGGUCCGCCUCACCGCGUGCACUGAUCCGACCGAAUCUUUCCUUCUGGGGAACCGUAUGCUCUUCACUGGGUGUACUGGGGAACCAGGACUUUUACUUUGAAAAAAUUAGAGUGUUCAAAGCAGGCCUAUGCUCGAAUACAUUAGCAUGGAAUAAUAGAAUAGGACGUGUGGUUCUAUUUUGUUGGUUUCUAGGACCGCCGUAAUGAUUAAUAGGGAUAGUCGGGGGCAUCAGUAUUCAAUUGUCAGAGGUGAAAUUCUUGGAUUUAUUGAAGACUAACUACUGCGAAAGCAUUUGCCAAGGAUGUUUUCAUUAAUCAGUGAACGAAAGUUAGGGGAUCGAAGACGAUCAGAUACCGUCGUAGUCUUAACCAUAAACUAUGCCGACUAGGGAUCGGGCGGUGUUAUCUUUUUGACCCGCUCGGCACCUUACGAGAAAUCAAA
rnacentral:rRNA from 2 species